GUUUAAGAACAGAUGAAUAUCAGAAAUACCAUAGCUAUCACAUUUAUCGAUGGGCGAUUAUCUUGCUCGUCUGAUCAAGUAGAAUCGAGAGAAUCAGCUAGGGAUCGUCGCUACGGAUUAAUAUGGACAAGUGAUCCCGUAUGCAUGCGAUAUUCACGUUACGGUUGUUGUUGGCGCUUGCUGUGUCGACCUGCGUCACUCGAAUUUUCACGUUGGCCGAAAGCGCGUUGCGCGUGACAAAGCGAGAGUGCCGAAUAGAUCUCUGUGCGAUCGUGAUGUGUUUUUCGAUAUUCGUGAUUGAUAUCGAUCGCGCUACGUCGUUCAAAGAAUUUGUUUACGAAUGCACGCGUUUCGCGUUAUUCGGGAGUGUACCGAGCAACAUUGAGAGAUCACAGUACUGAAUUAAUGGAGGGAGAAGAUCACUGCUCAUCAAUGAUGUUGAGAUAAACUUUUGUGCUACAUGGUGCUAGUGAAUAUUUGUUCCGCCAUAAUUUCGCAAUGUGAUAAAACGCGUAUCGGGAGUGCGGGAGUGCGGGAGUGCCGUUUAAUGUGAGUCGCGCGAUUUUCGUAUUCGGGCACGCACGUGAGCAAAACGUGCGCCGCGACGCGUGUGAGUGUUAGUGUAAA